rnacentral:lncRNA from 10 species
GUUGAGUCCUCGAUUUGAUUCUUAGCUUGGUUGUUGUCGAGUGCUAUUGACUUGUGUACAUUGAUUUUGUAACCUGAGACUACUGAAUUUGUUUAUCAGAUCUAGAAGUCUUUUGGAUGAGUCUUUAGGGUUUUCUAGGUAUAGGAUAAUAUCAUUGGUGAACAGCACUAGUUUUACUUCCUCUUUUCCAAUUUGAAUGCCUUUUAUUUCUUUCUCUUGCCUGAUUGCCCUGGCUAGGACUUCCAGUACUACGUUGAAUAGAAGUGGUGAAAGUGGACAUCCUUGUCUUGUUCCAGUUCUCAAGGAAAACGAUUUCAGCAUUUCCCCAUUUAGUAUGAUGUUGACUGGGUGUUUCAUAUAUAAAUUCUAUUAUUUUGAGUGUCUGCAUGCCUAAUUCUUCCUGGUUGUGAGACAAGAACCCGGAACUAGCUGAGCUAAGGAGAAAAAUCUUGUAUCAUUUUGGUGGCCCAUAUGGGGACCUAAGAAAAGGUGAGUAAAAUGCAGACCCAAGAAGAAACCUCUUUCACUUUUUCAUUUCCGAGCCUUCCUCUCAGACUUUUUCUGAAAACAAAUGGAGCACCAGGUCUCUGUUAGCCAAUUAAGAAUGAAUGGUACAGCUGCAGAGACUGCCAUCUGCUCCCCAUGUCUGCUACAUGUGCAUGCUGCGUCCAAUGACCACGCUGGGUGGGAAUGCACACUGGUAGCUGCCCAUGCCCCAGGGCAGUCUCAGGGAUCAAGGCCCCGGCGUGGCCAGCUGGCUAGCAAUUCUCGCUCACUGUCUCCUCGCACCACAUGCCCAGAGUCUUUCCUCCCCCAGCCAAGCCAAAAGGAGGGUACAACAGUUAAGAGUUUCUCUCCCUGUUGGAAGAAACUAUUUGCAUAAUGCUAUAUAUUUUCUCCCCCAGGCAGCUUCCCCACCCUGCACUGUAGCUGUUGUUUUUCCCCCCCCUUUUUGUAGCUAUGUCAGGAGUUAACACAUAGCCCUGUGAAUACAGGGAAUUUUUCUAUGUGAGUGACUUUUCUUUUCCUUUUGGAAGGUGUCUUGCAAGGCCAGGACCCCGAUUCAUAGGACUCCCUUUUCUCUCCGUUGUUUGAGGAGGGCCACUUGGGACUUAAUGAGUCCAUGAACCCUCCUGAAGCACAUUUUUGUCCCAAACACAACUCCUACCUUUGGCUUGAAGCCCUAAAAAGAAAAAUUAGAUCUGAGGGAUCCAGAGGCAGGCAACAAUGGAAGAAAAGGGGCACAGCACAGGUGAGCAUGACUAAUUUCUGCCAAUUAGCCCUCCCCCCAUUACGUGGGUAGGGGUCAUGCUAGUAUCCAUGGCAUAGACAAGGUCUAAGGAACUCAAAGGUUACGAGCAGCAGGGGAAAGACAGUGUGUGGGUAAAUGUGGAUAAUUCUCACCCUCCAGACCCCCUGUUAACAUGAGUGAAAAGCUGCAUUGGCACCCAUGGGCAGUACUCUGCUGAGGCCUCUGGGACUUAGGGAUAUAAGAAUAAAAUAAAGGAAGAUGGACAUUUCUUCUUUCUCUCCCUCACAUACCCCUGGUAUUCACUGGGAAGAUAAAGUAACUAGGGACAGCUUGUUCCCCUCUUUCUAGGUGGGUAACAAUAAUCUUCAGUCUGUAUUUCUCUUGAAUGCCUCCUGAAUCACUGGGAUUCCUUUGAGGGAAAAAAUGGCUUCUUUCUCCUUUUUCCUCCUCUGUCCUCUCUUCACAGAUGGGUAACUGUGUCCCUGUACCACAGACACUCCCCUUGGAUGAAUCCCCCAGACUGGGAAAAGUUAAUUUCCCCAAAACUUAAACUGCAUGGCUUAAAAUUGAGCUUGGGGGAAGGUUAUUAUGUUAAGCUACUGUAAACUACAAGAAUAAAAAAAUUUAUUUGUCAAUUGUGUUUUUGACUGUAACUACAUUGGAUAUUUUGUCAUUCGCAAUUGUUGUCUUAGAUCCUUUUCAAAGGUUGGUUUAUAAUCAGCUAUAAGACUUUGACAGGUGCUCUUAAAGGUAGGUUUCUGAUAUCUUUGAUGAUUGUAACAUUGGAAUAGAGGAAAAAUGUACAGGACUCAUGAAGAGCUGAAAUGUUCAUGAAUAUCAAGCAGAACUAGAGUUAAUGGAGUGGACUGAACUAAUAGAAAACUGAAGUAAUCUUUUAAGCUUUUUGCUUAAAAUGUUGCUGAUCCUUGUUCUGUUUUUCAGAGUCAAGGAAACUUAUUUUGAGCUAUUUAUACUCUUUAGCAGUGGAGUAAGGUAUACUCCUGUGAACAAAAUUUGGAGCAUAUUUGUUUCUCUCUGCCUGGCUUCUCCAGAAUUUGGAAACUAUUUGUGAGUAUGAUAUAAAAUACACUGUAAAAUGUACUUUAAAAGACAUAACUAUGAUCAAUUCAAGAAAAAACAGUCUUAUGAACUGAAAUAGACUCAAAAUGGAUUGACAAACAGGAGAUUAAAAACACCACAACCUAUUAAGUUCCCAGCAUCAGAAGGAGGCAAAAGAGGCUGGAAAGAGUAGGAAAUACCCUGUUCUUGAAACCAGGCUCACUGUGUGAGAUGAGCCAAAAUUAAGUGCUCCAAUAUUAAAUCAAGGCUGGAAAAGAGAAAAAAAUACUGUAUAUCUAUAAAACCCAGGGAUGGCUCAAUGACACAGAAAUAAUCAUCAACCAGAAACCCAAGCAAGCUAUCUGCUGGCUGGGACUUUCAGGUCUCCAAUAUAAAAUCUAGUAUUAUACUGGAAAUCCCAGAGUGUCCUGGGUGAAAUAAACUGAAAAGCCAGGAGACAGAAGGGGUUGAGGAAGGAAGGGAGGGAGGGAAUCGAGGGAAAUAUCUCCCUUCCUGAUGAGUUUACAAAAAUUGUAAAGUACAUGAAGAAAAUACAUGCCAUGAAAGAUAGCUAACCAACUGAAAGUAAAACGGUAAGAUUACACCUAUAAGGAGGUUAUGAUAGGUGAGCUAGCUUAAAAAUGACUUUAAAGCAAUAUAUUUUAAAACUUUAAGGAAAGAGAAAACAAUGUUUUUCUAAACAAAAUGGUAUUGCAUGGGGAAAACAAGAUUUUACAUAAUUUAAGAACAUAGAGAUAUUUAAUCAAAAUUGGACAUAAAGGGAUAAUUUGGUUACUUGAAAGUAAGGUCCAGAAUUUAAAACAGAACUUAGAAAAAAAAGAUUCAAAACUAUCAAAGACAAUUUAGGAGACAUGGAAAAUAGAUUGAGAAGCUCAAUAUUCAUCUAAGAGAAAAGAAUGAAUAUGUCGAGAAAAGAAGAAAUAGAAGGGAAUAAAUUUUCAAAGAGAAAGUGGCAGGACACCUUACUAAAAAUAGAAUAGCUAUGAGUCUCUGGUGGACAAUAGUCAUUUUGCUGCGCUUACAUUAAGUGGGAAUUUAAGAGCUGAAUAUCAAGCAAAAAUAAAAGAACUUAAGAGUUUGCAGAAAUAAAGGAAACAUUACAUAUUAAUGGCAAAGACAUUGGGAAUCCACCAGCAACAAUGAUGGCCAAAAAACAAAGGAGUAACCUCUUCAAAUUGAAUGGAACAGUAAUGGAUAGCUCAGUCAUUAUUCAAAGGGGAGGGAAAUUUCAAGACAUUUUCAGACAUGCAAGAUCUAAAAGUUUACUACCCAUGGAGUAUUUAAGAAACUACUGAAUGGUGUAUUACAGAAAAAACAAGUAAAUUGUAAUAAAAAUAUAGGUCUUAAGAAGCAAUUUUUUAAAAAAUGAUAAAACCUCUUAACUCAUUGAGGUCCCAAGAAAAGUGAUUUGAUAUUGUUGAUAUGGAAAAAGUAUAUGUGGGGAAGAGGAGAAGGAUUGUGUUGGCUGGAUAACAUGAUCAAAAUGCCCUUCUUGCUCAUAAAGAAAAAACUGCUGAAAGCAGAUAAAUAAAAAUGGUAAAUAUUUGAGACCAUAAUAAAAAAAAAUUUAAAACCAUCAGAGUAGAAAUUUGUAAUCACUAGGCCAUCGAGCCAGGAAAACUGCUCAGCUUUCUGACUGCAUAACCAAUUUUUAUUUUUUCCUGCCCUUAACCUUGGCAAUAACUUCCCUAUUCCCACCUUUAUUAACCAGGCAGGCAAUGAGGCAGGAAUGAUUUCAAAAUAUCCUGUAAAGUGUCAAUGCCUUGAAUUAGAUACAAAGGAAGCAACAGAUAUGUUGUUGCCUUUUUAUCUAGAAGAGGAAAGUAAAUAACAGUGAGAAAGUAAACAAGGGUAGAAAGCAGAAAAAGAUAAAAAAUGAAGCUGAAAAGUAAAAGAAGCAAUUGCUUUUCAUUUAAAAGCAUGGAGAAAACUGUCUUAGUCCAUUCAGGCUGCCCUAUAACAAAAUACCUUAGACUGGGUAAUUUAUCAACAACAGAAAUUUAUUGCUCACAGUUCCGUAGACUGGGAAGUCUAAAUCAAGGUGGCAGCAGAUUUGGUGUCCAGUGAGGAUCUGUUCCUUAUAGAGAGUGCCUUCUGUAUGUCCUCACAUGGAAGGGUGGGCAAGCAAGCUUCCUUAGGCCUCUUUUAUAAGGACACUAAUUCCAUGCAUGAGAGCUCCACCCUUAUGACCUAAUUACCUCCCAAAGGCCCCACCUCUUAAUAUAUACUGGGAAAUAGAUUUCAACGUGAAUUUUGGAAGAAUACAAACAUUCAGACUAUUGCAAGAACUUUACAGAAAAGGAAGCGAAUGUGAACUGUGCUUAAACAGUGAGUAUUUGGAUACGUUUGUGGAGUUAUAAGUAAGGAAGAAGUCCUUCCAGGCAGAAUGAGGUAAGUUCAUUUCAGAAAGGAAACCAUAGGGCAUAUGAGGGACAUUCAUAGGAACUUUGUAAGGAAAAGGGAGAAGCUCAAUUUACCUAGGGUUCAGGGCAGAAGAUAAAAAAUAAAAAUACAUCAGGACAAAAUUAUCACUAUAUGUGUAUUCUCAAGCUGUUCUCCCAAACGACCUUUUACUCCUAUUACCAAAAUCUAAAAGAAUUUCAACUUUUCAGGACUUAGCUUCUAUCUCUUUAUUAUGUUGACUGGAUAAAUUAUAGAAAAUAUCAGGACUGAAAGAAUCUAGAAUCACAGUUGAAUACUUACAUUGGAAAGGGAGAAACCUACUUGGGGUGAAGAUUGGAUCCAGGAAGGCAGAGGGAUCCAGGGUCUCCAGGGACUGGGUUGGAGUAAAGGGGAUAGGCAUUGUGAGAGGAGGAGGAAAGGUGUCACCAAGGCAGCUGUGGGGCUGCAACUUCAGUGUUUGUUGGAUGCACAACUGGAACCUAUAAGAAAGGACUUAUGCUUAUUGAUAAUGCAAUAUUAAUGGAAAGAAAAUCAUAAAGGACUUUUAAUUCCAAACUAGAAAAUUGAAGAUUAUGAAUAGUAAGUUUCAGAAUGAGUUAUGGAUACAGUGUGCUAUGGCUGAAAGAACACUGAAUUUUUAUCAGAAGCACUGGGUUCAUGCCUACCUCAGCCAUUUAUUACCUGUAUGUAGACAUUAUUUAAUUGGAUCAUAUUUCUUCAUACAUACAGUUGAUGUGAAAAUUACAAGGACUGGAA